CUCCGCACCCAAUCCCCCGUCUCCCCAGGCCCCAGCCCCCACCGGACAAACCCUAGCCUCACCAAGCCCCACAUCUCGCGCUCCUCCCUCCUCCAUCCUCGUUAGCCGCCGCCGCCGUUCUGCCUCCCUCCUCUCUCCCCUACAACCACGUCGCCGGGAGGAAGCCGCUGUUCGUGGCACCAUGCCGCUGCCGGGGUGUUGCGUACGCUUCGUUCCCCACAGCCCCUCCCUCAUCCUCGCUCAUCACCGCCGCUGCCUGCUACUCCCGGGGCGGCCGAGCGCCAACGAUGCGGCAAUGGCUGUUCCAGGAGGCGAGGGUGAGGGCGCGGGAGUUGGGCAUUGGGCACGUGGACAAGGAGGGAGGAGUCAACUUGAGGGAGGAGAUGAGAGGUGAGGGUUGGCAGCUAUUGCAGGGAGAGGAGGAGGAGUCUGGAGGCAAUGGACGAUUUUUUUAGGGUGGUCGGCGACCUACAGCCUACAGGCAACGUCCGUAGUAGCAGCAGGCGACCUGCAGCAGCUCCUUCCUACCUUCCAUGGAUGAGCUCUUCGGAGACGCCGUCCAGCCCGACCACGACCACGACUACCCCACGCACAAGAGGAAGGUUGAUUCAUUUGUCAAAUUCAUUCCACCGAAGCCAUCUGCUCCGCCCACCAACCCGCCCAGAAAGGUAGUUACAGUGAAUUGAUGUUCGCACUGAGGCCGGAGGCGAGAGGCGAGGGCACGGAGGUCGGUGGCAAGUGCUCAGGAGAGAAGAGGAAGGCGGCGGCGCUGGGCGGUGGCUGCGGUUUACACGAGAGGGAGGUGACCCGCCCAGAAAGCUCUGUUGAUGGAUGAUUUCUGCCAUAUUUAUGGAGGGGGAGGACGCCAACUACUAGGAGAAGGAUCAGUUUAGCAAGUACAGGAUGUAAUUCUCUUAUGAUUGUGGGUAGAUGCCUCCUUUAUUUAGUUACCAGAGUUGUUCACUAUUGAAUAUGCAAAUUCAACAUCCUUUAUAUAAUGGGAUCUUAUGAACUCUUUUUGAAGAUUGCUGAGAAGCGCAACCUUUUGAUCUUGGAGAACCGCAAGUUUGCUGACAUUAAAAACACAUUCAUUAUGCAAGACGAAUGGUGAGAAAUGUGUUAUUCCCUAUCCUUCCAUUCUAUUUGCAUAUUCACGCAGUAUGCUUAGUUUUUUCCUUUCAAGAUGAAUAUUCUACACAUGAGAGCAAUAUACUUGGUAUUAUUGAUGCUCAUAUAAUUCCUGGACCUGGAAUUGUUGAUGGCUUGAGGCUUAAAGUAUGUUAUGUGUUGCAUACCUAAUAAAUAUUAGCAAGCUAAUGUUGCAGCUUGACAGAUGUUGUGAUAACUUCUCCUUUUUCUGUUUGUUAAUAUCCACUUCGAACUGAGCAGCCAUGAUCCGGAUUUCCUCUAUGUAGCUAUGAGAUGCAUGCAGUUCGUUAUUGUGUAUCAUGUGCUAAAACAUUGAUUAUUUGACAAUGAACACAUGGCAAUGCCUUAACUAUUCAACUUGCCUAGCUCAGUAUUUUAACCAAUAGAGAAGUUUUUUUUGUUGCUUUCCCUUUUGUUAGAUAUUUUGCUUUUUGUAUGUUGAGGGGAGAUGGAUAUGGCCUCAGGACUAAACGCACAGACCACAUGAAGUGAUCUGAUGGUAGGUAAAGUAUUUUUUAUUGGCAAUGCUAAUGUCUGGACCAGCUCAAUGGUUUUAACUCUAUGAUGUUCAGUUUAGCAUAUCACAUGUACAAAUGCAUAUAUACAAAUUGUGGUGGGCAACUCACUAUUUAGACGACGUGACUAUUCUCUUGAUAAGGAGAGUCCCACCAUACUCAUGUGAGAGUUAGGCGUGGUAGUGGGUAGUGUUUUCUCAUCAUCCAUUAUGUGUUUCUUCUGUCUAGCUCGAAGUUGCUUAGUUAGAUAAUGAUUCGCAAAUUCUAGCAUUGCAUGUUGCCUGACACUUUUGCAUUAGCAUUGAAUUGCAGCCUGCAUUUUUGCAGCCCGCGAGGCGUGUAAAUGUUGGACUAUUGUUUCUCCGCUGAUGCACAUGUUUCGCCACAGAGACAGUACUCUGUGUGUGUGUGAUCUCUGGAAUUAGUUUUUAUGUUUCUCUAUGUUGAGUACUUUUGUAAUCUCCACGGGUGUGUUUCGUAUUUUCUAUGUACCCUCUGUCAUUCUUUUAAGUGUUUAAUGUUUUCUUUUGUAGUUUUUGAUAUUUAGGUGCAGUCACGUUUCAUUUGUCGCAGACCUGCACCCGUUAGGAAAAUCAUAGUUUCAUUUCGAUCAUGUUUCUUUAAGUUGUUCAGUGUUUGUUCAUUAUGUAGUAGAGUAAGCAGUACAUUUUGUCCAUCAGUUAAAUCACUCAUGUCACAUUCAGUUGAUUGAUUAGGUUUAGUUUUUGUUCCUUUCUCUUUGUUCCUUCAGUUUUUUGUUCCUUUAUUUAGUCAUUGUGCUUGCAUCAUUUGCCAGUAUUUUAGUCCAUCUCAAUAGACCCCUAUGAUUCUUCAUAGUUUAUCUCUUUCGUAGAUCAGACUUUUCCACUUUGUUAGUUAGGCUAAUUUAUGCUUUUUUCAGUUUUUAGUCUUUACAUGAUUUAGUUGGACAGUGUGUUUGGUAUUUCAAUAGUUCAGUAGUUUCAUACUUUCAUUUAAUUAAAUAGUCUUAUUUUUAGUCUCAGUACUUCAGGUUUAGUUUCCAAACAAGUACUUUUUUACUCAUGUGGUUUUCGGUCUUUUGACUAUAUGUGGUUUUCAAUCUUUUCAUCUCUUGGUUUACUUGUCAUUCUUAAUUUAUCCGCCUUACUAUUCUCAGUCUUGUUUUUUAUUGAGAGACACAACCUUUUCAAUACACUUCUAUUUUAAUUUUUCAUAACAACGGCUGUUUUUUUGUUUCAACUUUGACUCUAUGCUAUUAAAGUAAACCAAGUAUAUUAAAAUAAACCAACUAUAUUCAUAUAUGCCUCAGUAAUUGGUAUAGCCGUUUUUUAUCGAGAGAGACAACAUUUCAAAACACUUCUAUCUUCAUUUUUCAUACCAACGAAUAUUUUUUGUGCUGACAUGUGAGUUAAUUAUUUGGAAAAAAUAUAAUCAUAUAUGUAUUGCCAACAAUUUUUAUGUUUAAAGCAACCAAUUUUGUGAAAAGAGUGGAGAGAAAGAUACAUGUGCAAUUUCUUGAUGUUACAGCGGAUGGAUACUCGAUCUUUAAACAUAAGCACACAUGAAUAGGUACAAAUUCGAGGAAAGCCAAUGAAAUAGUUGUCUGUACACAUAUGUGCCAGUUUUAUACCUGGUUGUCUGGUUGCAUUAUUUGUCCGGUUUCAAUUCAGUUUGAGUAGAUUGUUAUCCGUGAGCGAUACUUGCUACUAUUUGUACCCAUGCACCAAUUUGCAUACCUAUUUUAGGCACAGAAACCAACCAUGACUGAAAAUCAUGUAUAUAUAAUUUACUAUGAUUCAUGGUGAGAAAAUCAUGAUUUAAUAAACGAAAGGUGGUUUGUUUUGCUAACAGUACUGAGUAUAAAUGUAAAUCGCAGAUCGUACGCUGCUGCUACGGGCUCCAUGUUGUUUAUGCUAGACAACACAACGGUGCUUGUGUUAUCUAUAGUUGAAGUCGCAGUUUAAUAUUCUUUGCUUUAUGCUUGUGUUAUAUGUGGUUGAAGGGACAUCCUUGUUAGUUUGCAUGGUCUAUGUAAGAAGGAGCAGUACAAUGCUUGUCAAGUUUGUUUAUAUUCUGAUGGCUGUUGAAUUCUGGACAAUGGAGACAUGAAUUUGUUACGUACAUAGGUACUAGGCAUAGGAUACUUUACUCAUUGAUGACAUGUAGUUUUAGAGAACUUCUGAAAAUUCCAAUUCAGGUUUUCUGUGUUCCAUUCAGGAAGAACGCACAGUCUACACUGGGGUAUAAAAUUAUCUACUACUUACCUUUGUGUCUCGACAUAUGCUUGUGAUGCAUCGUGCUGCCAGAGGCCAACAUUAUCCAGUAUCAUAGCGAUGCCAAAAAUGCCUAUUGGUUACUCCGCAUAUUCUCAUCUGAUUUCUCACAUAUAGAUAUUAAUUUCCUUUCAUGGGAGACCUUCAUUACAUUUCAGCGGCGGUUGUGGAUGUGAUUGGCGGUUGAGGGAGGGUCUCCGACUAGAGCAGCAGGAGCAAGGUGCUCGAGGAAGUUCAGGACAAUUUUCUGGAUUAAUAUCUAUACUGGAGAUCUAGGAGUCCACCCGAAUUCAGUCUCCAAGAAGCCGUUCAUCCAGGAUCCACCAAAAUUCAAAUGAUAUGUGAAAAGCGUGUGCUAGAUGUGGCCCCUAUCCAGCGUUUUGAUCUGUCCACUCAGGUGCUUUUGUCUAGGUGGUAACACAACAAGCUGCUUAUCUUAUACUCCCUCCGUUCCAAAAUAGAUGACUCAACUUUGUACUAACUUUAAAAAAGUUAGUACAAAGUUGAGUCAUCUAUUUUGGAACGGAGGGAGUAGAAACUUAUUAUACGUACAGUCCUAUGUUCGUUCUGCUUGCAUGUUAGAGAAAGAGCUUCUGCCCCUAUGUAAGUAAUCCUAUGGGAAUUAGCAACGUUGGCUGUACUUUCAAGCGGGUUGAAUCCUAUGCAAGUUUUUGGAGCAGUUGGGUUCCAGAACAAACGACUAGGUAUUCCCAAAGAGGUCAUUCCACUGGUGGCUAGCAUAAUAUCUUCAUGUCGGGACAACGAUCCAAGCAAGCAACCAUCAUUCUACCAGCUCUUGUCAUCGCUGAAGAAAUUACAGUGGUUACAUUGUUACGGAAAGCCUAUGACAAUUUGCGAGUGUUGUUUGUGCAAUAUACUGGUUUUAUGGCAGGUGCAUGUAUGAAUUCAGAUGGUAGUGGUCUCCUUGUUUACAGUUAUAAGAAUAAUAAAAAUAUUGAUAAUGGUC